rnacentral:piRNA from 1 species
UCCAAUGUUUUUCUGAUGCUCACUUCCAGGG